rnacentral:rRNA from 1 species
AGAGUUUGAUCAUGGCUCAGAGCGAACGCUGGCGGCAGGCCUAACACAUGCGAGUCGAACGGAUCCUUCGGGAUUAGUGGCGGACGGGUGAGUAACACGUGGGAACGUGCCUUUUGGUUCGGAACAACUCAGGGAAACUUGAGCUAAUACCGGAUAAGCCUUUCGAGGGAAAGAUUUAUCGCCAUUAGAGCGGCCCGCGUAGGAUUAGCUAGUUGGUGGGGUAAAGGCCCACCAAGGCUACGAUCCUUAGCUGGUCUGAGAGGAUGAUCAGCCACAUUGGGACUGAGACACGGCCCAAACUCCUACGGGAGGCAGCAGUGGGGAAUCUUGCGCAAUGGGCGAAAGCCUGACGCAGCCAUGCCGCGUGAAUGAUGAAGGUCUUAGGAUUGUAAAAUUCUUUCACCGGGGACGAUAAUGACGGUACCCGGAGAAGAAGCCCCGGCUAACUUCGUGCCAGCAGCCGCGGUAAUACGAAGGGGGCUAGCGUUGCUCGGAAUUACUGGGCGUAAAGGGAGCGUAGGCGGAUAGUUUAGUCAGAGGUGAAAGCCCAGGGCUCAACCUUGGAAUUGCCUUUGAUACUGGCUAUCUUGAGUACGGAAGAGGUAUGUGGAACUCCGAGUGUAGAGGUGAAAUUCGUAGAUAUUCGGAAGAACACCAGUGGCGAAGGCGACAUACUGGUCCGUUACUGACGCUGAGGCUCGAAAGCGUGGGGAGCAAACAGGAUUAGAUACCCUGGUAGUCCACGCUGUAAACGAUGAGUGCUAGUUGUCGGCAGGCAUGCCUGUCGGUGACGCAGCUAACGCGUUAAGCACUCCGCCUGGGGAGUACGGUCGCAAGAUUAAAACUCAAAGGAAUUGA